rnacentral:rRNA from 1 species
AAUGAACGCUGGCGGCAGGCCUAACACAUGCAAGUCGAGCGAGCGGCGGACGGGCGAGUAAUGAAUGGGUACUGCCCGAUAGAGGGGGAUAACUACUGGAAACGGUGGCUAAUACCGUAUACUGUCGGAUAGCCCAUAUGGGAUUAGCUAGUAGGUAAGGUAAUGGAUAACCUAGGCGACGAUCCCUAGCGGGUCUGAGAGGGUGAGCAGCCACACGGGAACUGAGACACGGCCCAGACUACUACGGAGGCGUGAGUGGGGAAUAUUGCAGGAGGGGAGCAAGCCUGAUACAGCCAUGCCGAGUGUAUGAAGAAGGCCCUGGGGUUGGAAAGUACAUUCAGUGGGGAGGCGUUACCGAAAGAAGAAGCACCGGCUAACUCCGUGCCAGCAGCCGCGGUAAUAC